rnacentral:rRNA from 1 species
UUAAGUUAACAAGGGCGCAUGGUGAAUGCCUUGGCACUAGGAGCCGAUGAAGGACGGGACUAACACCGAUAUGCUUCGGGGAGCUGUACGUAAGCUAUGAUCCGGAGAUUUCCGAAUGGGGCAACCCAGCAGUUUUAAUCAACUGUUACCACUAGAUGAAUUCAUAGUCUAGUUGGAGGUAAACGCUGUGAACUGAAACAUCUCAUUAGCAGCAGGAAUAUAAAGAAAUUUCGAUUCCCUAAGUAGCGGCGAGCGAACGGGGAACAGCCCAAACCAAAGUGCUUGCACUUUGGGGUUGUAGGACUGAACAUUUGAGUUACCAAAGAACUUGAUAGUCGAAGGAUUUGGGAAAAUCCGCCAUAGAUGGUGAUAGCCCAGUAGAUUAAAUCAAAUUCUCUCAGUUCAGGAUCCUGAGUACGGCGGAACACGUGAAAUUCCGUCGGAAUCCGGGAGGACCAUCUCCCAAGGCUAAAUACUACCUAGUGACCGAUAGUGAACCAGUACCGUGAGGGAAAGGUGAAAAGCACCCCGGGAGGGGAGUGAAAUAGUUCCUGAAACCAUGUGCCUACAAUAAGUCAGAGCGCGUUAAUGCGUGAUGGCGUGCCUUUUGUAGAAUGAACCGGCGAGUUAUGAUCCCGUGCAAGGUUAAGACUAAAAAGUCGGAGCCGUAGCGAAAGCGAGUCUGAAAUGGGCGUUUUGAGUACGAGGUUAUAGACCCGAAACCAGGUGACCUAUCCAUGUCCAGGUUGAAGGUGCGGUAAAACGCACUGGAGGACCGAACCCGUGUAAGUUGAAAAUUGCUGGGAUGAGGUGUGGAUAGCGGUGAAAUUCCAAACGAACUUGGAGAUAGCUGGUUCUCUCCGAAAUAGCUUUAGGGCUAGCCUCGGAAUUAGGAUCAUGGAGGUAGAGCACUAUUUGGACUAGGGGCCCGUCUUGGGUUACUGAAUUCAGAUAAACUCCGAAUGCCAUUGAUUCAUAUCCGGGAGUCAGACGAUGAGUGAUAAGAUCCACCGUCGAAAGGGGAACAGCCCAGACCAUCAGUUAAGGUCCCUAAAUGUAUGCUAAGUGGAAAAGGAUGUGGAGUUGCAUAGACAACUAGGAUGUUGGCUCAGAAGCAGCCACCAUUUAAAGAGUGCGUAAUAGCUCACUAGUCGAGUGAUCCUGCGCCGAAAAUGUACCGGGGCUAAGCAUACUACCGAAACCAUGGAUGCGACCAUUAGGUCGCGUGAUAGGAGAGCGUUCUAAGGGCGGUGAAGCAAGAUCGUGAGGACUUGUGGAGCGCUUAGAAGUGAGAAUGCCGGUAUGAGUAGCGAAAGAUAGGUGAGAAUCCUAUCCACCGAAUGACUAAGGUUUCCUGGGGAAGGCUCGUCCUCCCAGGGUUAGUCGGGACCUAAGUCGAGGCCGAGAGGCGUAGACGAUGGAUAACAGGUUGAGAUUCCUGUACUAGUUAAGUGCGUUUGAGCAAUGGAGGGACGCAGGAGGCUAAGAUGUGCAUUCUGUUGGAUUAGAAUGUCCAAGCAGUAAGUCUUGUGAAGAGUCAAAUGCUUUUCACUUUAAGGACAAGCUGUGAUGGGGAGCGAAAUUUAGUAGCGAAGCGUCUGAUGUCACACUGCCGAGAAAAGCUUCUAGUGAGUACUUAACUACCCGUACCGCAAACCGACACAGGUAGUCGAGGAGAGAAUCCUAAGGUGAGCGAGUGAACUCUCGUUAAGGAACUCGGCAAAAUGACCCCGUAACUUCGGGAGAAGGGGUGCUGAUCGCAAGAUCAGCCGCAGUGAAUAGGCCCAGGCGACUGUUUAUCAAAAACACAGGUCUCUGCAAAAUCGUAAGAUGACGUAUAGGGGCUGACGCCUGCCCGGUGCUGGAAGGUUAAAAGGAUGGGUUAGCUUCGGCGAAGCUCAGAAUUGAAGCCCCAGUAAACGGCGGCCGUAACUAUAACGGUCCUAAGGUAGCGAAAUUCCUUGUCGGGUAAGUUCCGACCCGCACGAAAGGCGUAACGAUCUGGGCACUGUCUCAACGAGAGACUCGGUGAAAUUAUAUUGUCCGUGAAGAUGCGGACUACCCGCGACAGGACGGAAAGACCCCAUGGAGCUUUACUGUAGCUUGAUAUUGAGUGUUUGUACAGCUUGUACAGGAUAGGUAGGAGCCAUAGAAACCGGAACGCUAGUUUCGGUGGAGGCGUUGGUGGGAUACUACCCUCGCUGUAUGACCACUCUAACCCGCACCACUAAUCGUGGUGGGAGACAGUGUCAGGUGGGCAGUUUGACUGGGGCGGUCGCCUCCUAAAAAGUAACGGAGGCGCCCAAAGGUUCCCUCAGAAUGGUUGGAAAUCAUUCGCAGAGUGUAAAGGCACAAGGGAGCUUGACUGCGAGACAGACAGGUCGAGCAGGGACGAAAGUCGGGCUUAGUGAUCCGGUGGUACCGUAUGGAAGGGCCAUCGCUCAACGGAUAAAAGCUACCCUGGGGAUAACAGGCUUAUCUCCCCCAAGAGUCCACAUCGACGGGGAGGUUUGGCACCUCGAUGUCGGCUCAUCGCAUCCUGGGGCUGUAGUCGGUCCCAAGGGUUGGGCUGUUCGCCCAUUAAAGCGGUACGCGAGCUGGGUUCAGAACGUCGUGAGACAGUUCGGUCCCUAUCCGUCGCGGGCGUAGGAAAUUUGAGAGGACCUGUCCUUAGUACGAGAGGACCGGGAUGGACAUACCUCUGGUGUACCAGUUGUGCCGCCAGGCGCAUCGCUGGGUAGCUACGUAUGGAUGUGAUAAACGCUGAAAGCAUCUAAGUGUGAAACACACCUCGAGAUGAGAUUUCCCAUUCCUUUAUGGAAGUAAGACCCCUGAAAGAUGAUCAGGUAGAUAGGUUAGAAGUGGCAGUGCGG